AUUGAACGCUGGCGGCAGGCCUAACACAUGCAAGUCGAACGGUAACAGGAAGAAGCUUGCUUCUUUGCUGACGAGUGGCGGACGGGUGAGAAAUGUCUGUGAAACUGCCUGAUGGAGGGGGAUAACUACUGGAAACGGUAGCUAAUACCGCAUAACGUCUCAAGACCAAAAAGGAGGACCUUCGGGCCUCUUGCCAUCGGAUUUGCCCAGAUGGGAUUAGCUAGUAGGUGGGGUAACGGCUCACCUAGGCGACGAUCCCUAGCUGGUCUGAGAGGAUGACCAGCCACACUGGAACUGAGACACGGUCCAGACUCCUACGGGAGGCAGCAGUGGGGAAUAUUGCACAAUGGGCGCAAGCCUGAUGCAGCCAUGCCGCGUGUAUGAAGAAGGCCUUCGGGUUGUAAAGUACUUUCAGCGGGGAGGAAGGGAGUAAAGUUAAUACCUUUGCUCAUUGACGUUACCCGCAGAAGAAGCACCGGCUAACUCCGUG
rnacentral:rRNA from 1 species